GUGUACUUGAAGAAUGGAUGAUGAUGAUUUUGGUGGUUUUGAGCUUCCAUGGCAGAUUGUCUCAAUUGACUGCUUCUUGGCUGACAACUCAAUGCGGAAUCCAAAUUGAAAUUCUGGCUCCUUUUCUCAGUAAUAAUUUUGCUGUGACCUGGACACUUAAGGGAGAGAAAACUCUUCACUCUUACCCACAAACUCAGCAUGCAGCUGCAGAGAUUUUUGAUGGUGGAAAUGGCGAAACCCAAACUACGUCUCCUGCUAUUCCUUGGGCUGCUUUUCCUACAGUAUCUGGAGUCCAUCUUUCUCCAGCUUCUCCUGAGAUUAUACUGGACCAUGACCACUCUUCUCCUUCAGUUGGCUGCCUGUCUUCGGAACCCAUCAUUUCAUCACCAGAGAAUACACACACAGAUGACAGCAUUGUCAGUCAAACUGUUCCUAAAGCACAGAUUCAGCAAUCAACACACACUCAUCUGGAUAUCUCACUUUUUCCAUUGGGUUUAAAUGAUGAGAAAAGUAAUGGAACAAUUGCUCUGGUGGAUGAUUCUGAGGAUCUUGGAGCCAAUGUAUCAAACAUACAGCUUCAGCAGAAAAUUUCAAGUCUGGAGAUUAAACUCAAAGUUUCUGAAGAAGAAAAACAGAGGAUUAAAAAGGAUGUGGAAUCAUUGAUGGAAAAGCAUAGUGUCUUAGAAAAAGAUUUCCUUAAAGAAAAAGAGCAAGAGGCCAUUUCUUUUCAAGAUAGAUACAAAGAACUUCAGGACAAGCAUAAACAAGAAUUGGAAGACAUGAGGAAAGCUGGUCAUGAAGCUCUCAGCAUUAUUGUGGAUGAAUAUAAGGCACUACUGCAGACUUCAGUUAAGCAACAAGUAGAAGCUAUUGAAAAACAGUACAUUUCUGCAAUUGAGAAACAAGCACACAAGUGUGAAGAGUUGUUAAAUACUCAGCAUCAGAGGCUCCUUGAAAUGCUAGAUACAGAGAAGGAACUGUUAAAAGAAAAGAUAAAGGAAGCUUUGAUUCAACAGUCUCAAGAACAGAAGGUAAUAUUUGAAAAAUGUUUGGAGGAAGAAAGGCAAAGAAAUAAAGAGGCUUUAUUAUCUGCUGCAAAGCUUGAGAAAGAAGCAAUGAAGGAUGCAGUUUUAAAAGCCAUAGAAGAAGAAAGAAAAAAUCUGGAAAAAGCCCAUGCUGAAGAAAGGGAGUUAUGGAAGACUGAACAUGCAAAAGAUCAAGAGGAAGUAUCUCAGGCAAUUCAGAAAGCAAUACAAGAACAGAGAAAAAUAAGUCAGGAAACUGUUAAGGCAGCAAUAAUAGAAGAGCAGAAGCGAAGUGAAAAGGCUGUGGAAGAGGCAGUGAAAAGAACAAGAGACGAAUUGAUAGAGUAUGUAAAAGAACAGAAAAGAGGCUACUGAGGUCCUUACUUAGGAGAUUCCAAAAAGAGAUAUGACCGCCAGCGUUUCUUCAGUCCUCUCUGACAAAGAAGACGAUGCAUCUUCAUGGUGAUCUCAGCGCUUCUGAUGCCAUUUGGAAAUUCGGAAACGGCUCAAUUAUAUCUGUGAGCCAUAACUUACUCAUCUCUGAAGCUGUUUCCAGGAGGACAUUUUAAAUUUCUGUUAUGAUUAUCAGUGGCAUAUACAAGAAAUAACCUAAGCUAUCUGUAUGGCUUUUUUAUAAGAAGAAGAAGGAGAAGAAGGAGGAGGAGGAGGUGGAGGAGAAGGCAAACUUAAAAAGCCACCAGAACGGAAGCUCUGUGACCUUAGACACUUUGUACCCCACUGCCUGAAGUGAUAGCUGGCAUGUAAUGAACACUCAAUGAACAUGGAAUGAAUGAAUGAAUGAACAUUCUAGUAUCAUGCAUCCCUGCUCCUCAGAGGCUAAUUACAUUGUAUACAACCACACUUGUCAACCCUACACUUGGAAUGAUGGUGCAUAUUAAAAGGAUUUUAUGAUGAAGUUUCCAUGAGAAAAGGGAUCCUGUGGUCAUGUAAAAUAAUCAACAAAAAGAAUGUAGGAAAGGGUACUGGUAAGCCAUAUGAGGAAAUCACUAACAAGAUGUUUGUCUCCAUACUGACAUGAAAUUACCCAAAUGUAUGAUUUCACAAUCUACAAGAUGGCAAUAAACUGCCCCUAGAGGGCGCCAAAGUGAUCUCUCUCUCUCUCUGUCUCUCUCUCUCUCUGUCUCUGUCUCUGUCUCUGUCUCUCUCUCUUUUUUGCAAAUCUGUGUCUGUAGAUCUGAUCUGGACCUCCUGCAUCUCUGAGGGUUUCUGGAUGGUCCUUAAAAAGCCCCUCAGGGCCUUCCUCUGGUUUGGGGUGUGGGCCACGGUCACCCAGAAAGCUAAAUGCAGCCUCUGGGUGAUAAAAGCUCUGCGGUAAACUGACUUCCAGCUAACCGCAGGGCAGGCGAGAGCGUCUAAUGCAACCACAAAGUGGUUUGCUGGCACAGAACUUUCCCAACCUUUGGAACAAGAUACCAGCGGAUGUUGUUUAGUCUCCAUCUUGGAAAUCUUUCUCUCGGCGAGAGGAAAAUUCUGAUAUCCAUCAGUCUGAAAUCAGCUGGGCACAGCCUUAGGUGGAGGCAGGGGGGCAAGCAUGUUGUUUGUGGGAUCUCACAACCUCAAAACCUAUGGUUGUAAAGGAACUGCUUACCCAAUUAAUUAUGAAACAGGCAAGGAUACAGACACUGGCGGGGAUCAACGAACUGCAUGUAGACUAGCAGAGCUCCUUGAACUAUGACAUUUUUUUUUCUAAAAAUGUUAAGAGAAAUUAAAUUUUAAUGCAGAAUUAGGGGUGCUUGGUGAACUUCUGGAGUCUUCAGUAUGCAUGCAAUACCUAGCAUCUUGCUGUCAGCUCGACAUGGACUCCUAACAGAUGUCCUUUGUCAAGGUCGCUGUGUUGAGCUUGAACAGAACCACUGACCUCAUGCAAUCAGGCUGCUGCAUUGGGAUCCCUGUUCUGAAGAAACUGAGAUUGACAGUGUUGAGACCUUGAGUUUUUUUCUUUACAGUAUCGCCACUGCUUAUUCUUCAGCCCUGCCUUUGAGCUAGAAAUUGAUGUACUUGGCUGAUGAGACUAAAUUACAUGAAAGAAUGGCUUUCAUCAUAUUGCUCAAUUUAGGGAUUUCUUUCAUUUCAAAGGCAAGGUUAAUUACCUCUAGAAAAUGUUAAGCAAUUAUCCACUAAUAAUAGCAGGGAAGAUGCUCCUGGAGCAACCAAUUCAAGGUGGAGGGAGGAUUUGUGAGGAAGGCAAGAGACUUAGAUUUGAAUUAGCGCUGAGAAAUGAAAACUAUGUUAAGCUUUUAAAGACUUUAAUGGGGAGAGACAAGACUGUUGCUUUAGCCCUUCAGCAGCCUUGGCUGUCAGUUUAUCCUAUUUUUUUUUUUCCAGGACUUGGAGGAAAGACCUAGUUGAUGCAUAUUCCCUGUGAUUUUUUCCUGUAACCGCUCAUAACCGAGGGUGGAGGGGGCUCAGGUCUCUGGCAAUCAGUGGGAUAUAACAAAGGUGUGGGCUCUGCAUUAAAGGUGAAGAAGAAUCUAGUCUGAGACUUUUCAGUUGCAUCCAGGGAUUUCCUAUAUUGCUGUAUAUUAGAGUACUCACAGUUCGGAGACUUGCUCUUGGAGUUCAGUGAUGAGUGAUGUCUUCCAAAAGCCUGGGCCCUUCCACGUGCACCACACACACACACACACACACACACACACACACACACACACAGAGUGCUAUUUUAUCUCUCCCUCUCAUGCUCAACUUCAAGUCAUUGUACAAUGAUAAAGCUUCCAAGUAAAAUUAUCUGCCAUUUGCUCAGCUCAAGAUCCUAUGGCAGGUGGACAUAGAAAGCUGAACAAUCAACACUCUGUUCUUUCUUUGAUUCCUUUAGUUCGAGAAGGAAGCCUGCGGUUCUUUGUGUACAGAAGCUUGUUACCACAUGCUGGACUUUCUCCCUGUUGUGGACAUAGUUCUCACGCAGCCCCAGGAUUCCUUAGCAUCUGGGAGGAAAGCUGGUCAGUAGAUACCAGAAGAUGCUUGGAGGAGUGGGCCCAACCUGGUGCUGAAGUGGGGGCAGUUGAGAUACUUCUGUAUCCCAAUAAGGCUUCAAUGCAGGGGAUACCAAUUCUAAAAGCAGUGCUAGCAGGCAGCUGCCUGCUGUUCAAAUAAAAUCCUGUUGCCACAUGAA